UAACAGUUUGAAAUCCCAACAACAAAGGAGCA
rnacentral:piRNA from 1 species